rfam:Bombyx mori DNA, contig: Bm_scaf8_contig6779, strain: p50T/Dazao, build 2, whole genome shotgun sequence.
GGCCUAUUAGCUCAGGGGGUUAGAGCGUCGUGCUAAUAACGCGAAUGUCGUGGGUUCGAACCCCACAUAGGCCA